UUGGCAGAAACAAGGCCAAAAAUUUACUAAUUGGCCCGCCAGAUUAUUACAAGUAAAAACUUAAAACUCAAAGGACUUGACGGUGUCCCACAUACAACCUAGAGGAGCCUGUCCUAUAAUCGAUGAUCCACGAAGGACCCUACCACCUUUCGCCUAACAACCUAUAUACCGCCGUCGAAAGUUCACCUUAUGAAGGAAAAAAAGUGAACAUAAUAGUCGGACACUAACACGUCAGGUCAAGGUGUAGUUUAUAGGGUGGCCAGAGAUGGGCUACAUUUCCUUAUCAAGGAAAAACGAACGGAAAAAUGAAAACCAACCAGAAGGAGGAUUUAGUAGUAAAAUAGGAUCAGAAAGCCUGCUUGAACACAUUGCCCUGGGACG
rnacentral:rRNA from 1 species